UAGGGAAUCUUCGGCAAUGGGGGCAACCCUGACCGAGCAACGCCGCGUGAGUGAAGAAGGUUUUCGGCUCGUAAAACACUGUUGUAAGAGAAGAAUGACAUUGAGAGUAACUGUUCAAUGUGUGACGGUGUCUUACCAGAAAGGAACGGCUAAAUACGUGCCAG
rnacentral:rRNA from 1 species